UACGUAGGGUGCAAGCGUUAAUCGGAAUACUGGGCGUAAGGCGUGCGCAGGCGGUUUUGUAAGUCUGUCGUGAAAUCCCUCGGCUUAACCGGGGAACUGCGUCUGAUACUGGAUGGCUUGAGUUCGGGAGAGGGAUGCGGAAUUCCAGGUGUAGCGGUGAAAUGCGUAGAUAUCUGGAGGAACACCGGUGGCGAAGGCGGCAUCCUGGACCGACACUGACGCUGAGGAGCGAAAGCCAGGGGAGCAAACGGG
rnacentral:rRNA from 1 species